CAUAGAAUUUUUGGCAACUGCAAGAGACGUGAAGGUCUUUAUUUCGUCUGUGAUAAAACCUAAUUUUUAUCAGCGCACUCAUCAGUGUCUACCAGCUAUGGCCUUAGUGGUUCUCUAUUUUGCCAUACGUGAUGACUUGAAGUGUCUCCACCAAGGUAUUUAUAGAAAGGUACAUUGAUCUAAGCAGUCAGUGGAUGCGGGGAAUGAUAAGCAGCGAGGGGGUAUAAAAUUACAGCUGGCGAGUUGGCUGGCUGGCUCUUCCUUUCCCCUCCGCUGAUUGAUCUCGUUUCCAUGGCACAAUGAUUAUUUUAUUAUGUUUUCAAAAACAAAUUGAAAAUGUGUGCUCUAGCGAAGACAGAUUCCGAGUAGAGUGGUUGACUGUUUCUUGCAACGGUAACAGACAAAAUAGAGCAUAAAAGUCGCUGAAAUGGUUUCUCAUUUCGAUCGUUUUUCGGGGUUGAUCCAGUAACCAUUUUCUAUAUUCGUCAACACUGAUUUUUAUUUGCAGAUUAUUUAAAUAUUUUUGUUGUACCAGAAAAAGCUACAAAAUAUAGUUGUUGUACUUUGAGUCUUCGAUUAAUGUGUACAAAAUUCAAUUCUACCCACUUACAUGAACUGUAACAGCUGUAAUGUGCAAUACACUGUAACUGUACAUACACUGCCCAUACUCGUACAACAGUUCCAUUGAUAUAGGAAAUCUCAUAGAAUAUGGGACUGUUUUUCGAGUAUGGGCAGUACAACCGGCGAUUACAGUUACUGCAAUGGACAUAGGUGUACUAUUGUGCCAUAACUGUUUUCACAUCAUGUUACUGAGAGAAAUAAUUACAUUACAUAUUAAGGUCUUUAAUUGCAUCACCAUCGAGUCAGCUUGUUGUAAUGAAAAUGUGUGAUCAGCA